rnacentral:misc_RNA from 1 species
AACGCAUAUUGCGCUCUUUGGUAUUCCGAAGAGCAUGCUUGUUUGAGUAUCAGUAAACACCUCACUUUUCUCUUUUUUUUUAAUAAAUCAAAGGAGAGUGGACUUGAGCUAUCCCAACAACCUUCACCGGUAGGCGGGCGGCUUGAAAUGCAGGUGCAGCUGGACUUUUAUCUGAGCUAAAAGCAUAUCUAUUUAGUCCUCGUCAAACAGGAUUAUUACUUUGCUGCAGCUAACAUAAAGGAUAAUUGUCCUCUUUGCUGACUGAUGCAGGAUUUUACGACACGUAUGUGUCGUUCAACUCGAUCUCAAAUCAAGUAAGACUACCCGCUGAACUUAA